GUUUCAGGCGAAUCCCUUGGGAUUUGGUCUGCUUUUGUGUUAGUUUGUGUGGUUUCAGGUUUGGCUCUUCCAAUGUACGGUUCUCAUCUUUGACAAUUGUUGUUGAUCUCGUCUUUUGGGACCUUAGCACGAAGACUUUCCUGUUGUCUACUACAACAAGCUCUCCUUCGGUUUCUUCCAGUGCUUGUAGUACUUGCUAGGUGGUACAAGAACUUAUUUGUAAUUCUUACUAUCUUUAGGAGUCUUUAUACUAUUGUUUAUGAUUGUUAAUAAGUCGGUGGAUCUUUUCACACAAAAAAGUAGUAUGAAGACCUCUGAUGCACUUUACUCUUUUUUUUGGAUAGUUUUUUUUUGUGCAGUACGUGCUUGCAAAAGGUGGAUCCACACUUUUUUUUCAUGAGUAGUAAGACAUCUUAGGCCUACCUCCACUGUUAUUCUAGCUUUCAAAUUCAAGAUAGAUUUAGUUAAUUUACAUUGACCACCUCUCAACCACUCACUUAUACACACCAACAUUACCAUACCACCCAAGUGUACAAUGUGAAUGUAUGGUUUAAUAUGUUCUUUCGCGAGAUCGAUUUGGCAUGAGAACACCUAUUGGUGUGGUGGUGGAGUUGUGAGUGCAUGACUCCACCAAGCAGGGUUCAAAUCCUGGUGCUCCCCCGGGAACAUGUCCACCCCCACCCCCGGAACAUCUUCCGGUAUUGUUUGGC
rnacentral:lncRNA from 1 species